GGUGAAAUUCACUCCUGUGCACAGGAUCAACACAAGGCCUACUAAUCGCUGAACUCCCUGUCCACUAACACGGCUACCACUCUGAAACCUGUAAAUACAGAGGAGUUCCUGUAGUUGAUGCUGAUUGUGGUGCGAUCGCUGAGGAGAUGGGAGACAGAAGAGAAUCUCUGAGGUUAUUUUUUAUGCCACUCCAUUUCUUAAUCUGCAAGUGGUGCUGAAAAGCAUUGAAGCUGGCAUCUUCCUGCAGAGUACCUUAGAUCUUUCCCAGCAGCAAGCUGGUGGCCAGAUGCUAGCGUGGACUUAACCAGUUCCCAUGGCUGUACUAUGCUGUGUAUGGGUCUUGUACAGAAACACAGCAGAACCAAAGGUCUCAUACAACAUGAGCAGAAGCUCUAACAGCAACCGUGACCUCUAUGAACCUCUCGAGGAGAAAGACAGCCAGGAAAUUCUGCAGUGUAGCUGGAUGCAUGAUAAACAGGACUAGACUGAGGAAGUGCUUGUUAUGGACUAAUAAAAGAUUUAAGGCAGUUUUCUGAGGUCAAGGGCCUAGAAAAUGAGCCUAUCCUACUCAUGUAAGUGGACUCUUACCAGCAUUUUGUACAAGGUCUCAAGAAGUAACAAGAGCAUCCUAUCAACUCAGACCUAUGGGAUUUACCAACACUAGGCUCACCUUAUCUUUUUGUCUGUGAAGAAGGCAAAAGGAGCUAUGUUGAGUAUGGAUGUUUCAUAUAUUGUGUAUCUAUCAGUGGCUUGAAAAAUUAUUACAGGUACUGAAUGGGUAUAUACCAAGAGAUAUGUGAAGUGAUUGUACUGUAUGUGCUCAUGCUAGUAAUUACACUUUAAAAUGUUAAACCUUUAAUAAAAACACAAUGUAAUUAC